AGAAGAAAAACAGAGAUCCACCUCGAACCUCCCUCCUCUCUCAAUCUGAUUUCGGUUUCUUACAUGCGAUUUCCUCUUAUCUUGUAAGUCAAAUCCUGAUAUUCCAUCACCUUUCGUUGCUGGUGCAGUGAGCUGAGUUAAAGAGCCUUUGGGGUUCGUUAUUUUGUGAAUAAUUCAAUUAUGAGGGAAGAAGACUCUAAUUGGUUCUCCAGAUGGAAGGAACAGCUUCCAUCCCCGGAGGAGCUUAUGCCUCUUUCCCAAUCCCUUAUUACUCCCGAUCUUGCUCUCGCCUUCGAUAUCCGUAACCCCGACCAUGCCCACCACCAACACCCACCCCCUCCUUCUCAACCCUCCUUAUCCGAAUUCGCUGCCGAUUCCGGCGACUUGGGAUACGGGGCGGCCGGAGAUGAGCCGACUCGCACUCUCAAGCGGCCUCGUCUCGUGUGGACCCCACAGCUACACAAGAGAUUCGUUGACGCCGUGGCUCAUCUGGGGAUCAAGAACGCUGUCCCCAAGACCAUAAUGCAGUUGAUGAGUGUUGAUGGCCUGACGAGAGAAAACGUUGCUAGCCAUUUGCAGAAGUAUCGCCUUUAUUUGAAGAGAAUGCAGGGCUUGUCUGGUGGUAGUGGAGGAGGCUGUGCCAAUGGCGGAUCUGGGGGUGCCGGAUUAGGGGUUUCGACUGAUCCCGCGACGGACCGUUUGUUUGCAAGCUCACCGGUUCCACCACACUUUCUUCAUCCUGGUAGUAGGGCUAAUUCAGAGCAUUUCUUACCCUUCGUGUCAGUGCCGGCAUUGCAGCAUCACCAUCAUCACCAGCAACAGCAAAUGGUGGCAGCCGCGGUAGGACAUCCUCAUUUACAGUCUCAGUAUCAUAGGCCGCAAAUGGGGCAUUACGUGUCAUCUCCAAAUAGCCAAUUUGAGCAUCCCUUCUUAGGCAGGCAGACGCAGCAACCAAUGCAUAGGAUUGGAGGGAUGCCUGUGCAUAAUCAAGCGGCCAGUAGUUAUGUUGAAGAUUUGGAAUCUGCCAAUGGGAAUGGUGGAAGGAAGGUUCUUACAUUAUUUCCUACCGGGAAUGAUUGAUUCAAAACUUUGUGAUCCUGAGGGGGUGAUGAGGACUGGAAAUGAACUUGAAUUUCUGAAUUUGAUCUUGAGCUGGAUUCAUCGUCUUUCGGCCAAUAAGGUGGUUUUGAGGCUACAUGACUAAAUUUUGAGCUUGAGGUGGGAGAAAAAGACAUGCUGACCAUCCCUAGUCAGUGUCUUUAUCUGUUACAGUGGGUAUUGAGUUUCUCUUCUGUGUUAAUCGUCUGUUUUUCUUAGUUCUGUGUUAUGUAGAGGUAAGCUGUACUUGUACAUUGUAUGACUCCAUAGAAGACUUUGGACCUGUGAUAUGAAGAGCAACUCAGGGAUCCCUGACUUCUUUUCUCUUCCUUUUUUCUAUUAUUUCUUUCUUACGUCUUAUCCUAAUGAACAUUAGCUGGAUUUCUGAUAUUUCACAGCAUCUGUAACAUUU